ACAAAAUUUUAACUAUUCUUGGCUACAAGUCUUCAAAAAAAUGUUUUCAAUUAUUGCCUUCUUCCCAGCCGCCCGUUUUUCCUAUUUUGGAAUCACUGAAAACUAAGCUAUUCUUUCUUAAAGCCCUGUAAACUGAAGCUAGACAAUUUAAAAUUCAGAAGAAAAUAACAACCUUUUUAUAUACAUA